rnacentral:misc_RNA from 1 species
GGUAGUUCAAGUCUACCCGGGCCCACCAUUUGCACUUGCGAAUGCGGGUUGAGGGAUGACUGAUUUGCCGUUGGGUUUCCUGAUGCGGAACGUUGCCGAACCUGGGCUUGCCCGGGCGAUCGAGCUGAUGGGGCUGUAGCUCAGCUGGGAGAGCACCUGCUUUGCAAGCAGGGGGUCAGCGGUUCGAUCCCGCUCAGCUCCACCAAAUCGAUUGGUGUCGAGACUGACGGCAAGGAAGCGUAGCGCAAGGCGCCUCGCCAAUCGUUUGGCGCCCUAGCGGAGCGCCUUCGGCGCGUGAGCGACAAGAAUUGUCUUCUGAAGAAAAACAAAGUUUGCAUCGUUUUUGACGAUGCCUGUUCUGCCUAUAUCGUGAAGAGAAGAUUGAUCUGGAGGCUUCCAGGUGUUUUGGGUUUUGGCCCAGGGCGUCCGAAGCCGGUUCCAAUGAUGUCGUUGAUGGUCUAGCCGACCGGAAACGAAAGAGGAGCCGGAGGUAGGAAGGAAGCUUGUCCUGAGGCAUUGUUGUUGUUUGAAGGCUUUGGCGUUCAUCUGACCGACGAUGCUGGAUUGGCGUUGCCUGACCGCGCGCCACCGGAUUUGAUCUCGAGAAGCUGGUCUUAAGACAGACUGCAAGCGAGCUGCUCGGCGUAGCUCCAAUAAAGCAGAUCUGUCGAACACGUCGAUGGCAUCAUUAGAAAGCGUGAUUGUAAAAGGUAAUCACGCAUUGUUGGUCUUCGGAUUUGAUUGCGGCAACUGAAAGGUUGUCCGGAUGAGAAUUUUAAAUCCAACAAAGAUGAUGAGCAUUGGCAAUGAGAACGAUUAAGUGUCGUAAGGGCAUUUGGUGGAUGCCUUGGCAUGCACAGGCGAUGAAGGACGUGAUACGCUGCGAUAAGCCGUGGG